rnacentral:rRNA from 1 species
CAAUAGCGUAUAUUAAAGCUGUUGCGGUUAAAAAGCUCGUAGUUGGAUUUCUGUCAAGUACAACUGGUCCGCCCUCCGGGUGAGCACAUAGUUUGGUCUUGGCAUCUUGCUGGAAAUUGUUGCUGCACUUGGCUGUGUGGCGCAGUGUCCAGCACUUUCACUUUGAGGAAAUUGGAGUGUUUCAAGCAGGCAAUGCCUUUGAACACAGUAGCAUGGAAUAAUUAGAUUGGGCUUUUGCUCCAAUUUGUCGAUUUCUGGAGCUGAGGUGAGAAUUAAUGGGGAUUGUUGGGGGCAUCCGAAUUUAGCCGUCAGAGGUGAAAUUCUUGGAUCGGCUAAAGACGGACAACUGCGAAAGCGUUUGCCCAGGAUGUUUUCAUUGA